rnacentral:tRNA from 1 species
GGAGGGGUGGCAGAGUGGUCGAAUGCACUGGUCUUGAAAACCAGCGUACCGCAAGGUACCGUGGGUUCGAAUCCCACCCCCUCCG